GUGAGGAAUUUUGCGCAAUGGGGGCAACCCUGACGCAGCGACGCCGCGUGGAGGACGAAGUCUUUCGGGAUGUAAACUCCUGUCAGUGGGGACGAUAAUGACGGUACCCACAGAGGAAGCACCGGCUAACUCCGUGCCAGCAGCCGCGGUAAGACGGAGGGUGCAAGCGUUGUUCGGAAUUACUGGGCGUAAAGCGUAUGUAGGCGGCAAGUUAAGUUCAAUGUUAAAGCCCACGGCUCAACCUAGGAGAUGCAUUGAAUACUGGCUAGCUAGAGGGUGUUAGAGGAAGACGGAAUUCCCAGUGUAGCGGUGAAAUGCGUAGAUAUUGGGAGGAACAUCGGUAGCGAAAGCGGUCUUCUGGGACAUACCUGACGCUGAGGUACGAAAGCGUGGGGAGCAAACGGGAUUAGAAACCCCAGUAGUCC
rnacentral:rRNA from 1 species